CUUGCAGACAGGUCGCACAAAUACGGCUUGAACACACUUUUCUGUUUCUGUUUGUUAUCAACAUGACUGAACAUGAGGACAAUGAUGAGGUGAUGUUGUCAUGCUCUGUACCAAAAGAUGGAGAGUGUAGACACACAGUGAACUGGCUAUACGAGGGUGAACGUGUGGCUGAAGACAACAAAGACAUGAAGAUAUCACAUUCUGACUGCUCGGCUACUGUGACAUUUCUCACCUCUUAUCUCAAGCAUCAAGCAAGCGAUUAUCACAAGUUGUUUAAAUGUGAAGCACAUCAUCAUUACAUUGGAAAAGCGCAACUGUUUACCUUCCGCCCUCAGUCCUCAGGUGAGGAUCCAACAACAUCAGUGUUAACAGAAGCACCAACAACAACAUCAACAACACCAUCAAUGACAAUGACAUCAACAACAACAUCAACAACACCAUCAACAACAACAUCAACCACAACGUCAACAACACAAGAAGGUGAGAAACAAAGUAGCUCACUCUCUCAAAUGUAG
rnacentral:lncRNA from 15 species